GGCUGCUGGGAGAUAGCUCAGUCUGGAGAGCAUGAGACUCUUAAUCUCAGGGUUGUGGGGUUCAAGCCCCAGGGUGAGCCA